GCCUAGGCUUGCUCGCCUUGACGUCACGUGGGCAGAAGGCAUCCUCUGGCGGCGCGGCCGCGGUAUUCAACUUCGGGUUCAAGUCCGCGCCGUGCGCCCCGCGCCGUGCGCCCGUGCCUGCGCGCCGCCGCCACAUCUGGAAGCGUUCAGCGCGUCUGCUCCAGCGCGCCGGGCAGGCGGGCGGGCGGGCGGCGGCGGCGCGGGCAGGGGAGGGCGCGGGCGCGGCGGCUGGCCGGGAGGGAGUGAGCGCGGCGCUCUCGCGCGCCCGGUGUCUCCCUCUCUCUGCCUCUGCAGAAACAGCUCCCUGCCAGAACGGCGCUCGGCGCGGCGCGGCGCGGCCCGGAGCGGCGGCGGCCACGGUCUUCUGCCUCCUCGCCCUCAGGAGUUCGUGGCUCUUUUUGACAGCUAAAAGCCGGCCAGGGGCCUCCGGGAGGACUCUCCAAGAGUGGGCAGAGAAGUCUCAGCCCCCUGUGGCCCGAGUGCACCGCCGCGCCCCGCAUCUCGGGGUCCAUCGCUCUCCCUUGCCCCUCCUUUCUGCCUCUCCUCGCUCUGCCUCUCUCGUUUUAUUUUUUCAAAUGGUGUAGCCGCCAGAGGUGCGGUGCUAAAUUCUUGGAAGGGGCCCGGAUGUACUGAAGAUGCAUUACAAUCUUACUAAAGGAGGCAGUAGUGGAAAGGAGCAGUUUUUGGUGUUUGAUGCAAUAAUGGGAAUCAGGUAAUCAUCAGGAGGGAAGAAGAAAUACUGCGGAUCCACAGCUUCCCUGAAUUUUGCACGAGAGCAACGGACCUCGGAGGAGAGAUUAACCCAGACCCACUUGGUGUUUCUACAUUUUUCCUCUUUGUGGCUUCUUCUCCCUUUCAGACAAUUUUUGGUCAAUGGUCAAUGAAAAUACGAGGAUGUAUAUUCCAGAGGAAAACCACCAAGGUUCCAACUAUGGCAGCCCACGCCCAGCUCAUGCCAACAUGAAUGCCAAUGCGGCUGCAGGGCUGGCCCCUGAGCACAUCCCCACCCCGGGGGCAGCCCUAUCCUGGCAGGCAGCCAUCGAUGCGGCCCGGCAGGCCAAGCUGAUGGGCAGUGCUGGAAAUACCACCAUCUCCACUGUCAGCUCUACACAGCGGAAGCGGCAGCAGUAUGGGAAACCUAAGAAGCAGAGUGGCACAACUGCCACGCGGCCGCCUCGGGCCCUGCUCUGCCUAACUCUGAAGAACCCUAUCCGGAGAGCAUGCAUCAGCAUUGUUGAAUGGAAACCAUUUGAAAUAAUUAUUUUACUGACUAUUUUUGCCAAUUGUGUGGCCUUAGCAAUCUAUAUUCCCUUUCCAGAAGAUGAUUCCAACGCUACCAAUUCCAACCUGGUAAGUCCUCAAGUCUACAUUUCUUACUAGCUGGUGGAGGACUGAGU
rnacentral:lncRNA from 1 species